GUCACUUUGGCGGAGUGGUUAACGCGCUGCCCUGCUAUCAUAUUGAUUAAAUAUAUACCAAGGCAGUUCCUUCGGGAGCGCAGGUUCGAAUCCUGCAGGUGACG